GACGUAGGGCGCGAGCGUUGUCCGGAUUUAUUGGGCGUAAAGAGCUCGUAGGCGGCUUGUCGCGUCGACUGUGAAAACCCGCGGCUCAACUGCGGGCCUGCAGCCGAUACGGGCAGGCUAGAGUUCGGUAGGGGAGACUGGAAUUCCUGGUGUAGCGGUGAAAUGCGCAGAUAUCAGGAGGAACACCGGUGGCGAAGGCGGGUCUCUGGGCCUUACCUGACGCUGAGACGCGAAAGCGUGGGGAGCGAACCGG
rnacentral:rRNA from 1 species